UUUUCUUUUGCAAAAUGAUCACAGAUUCAGCAAUAGAAACUGUUACUUGCUGCCAUACCAUCCCUAAGCCAGCCUCUUCCCAUAUGGCAACAUAUUGUACUUUGUCAGUAAAUAAAGGACUGUUAACAGUUGCAAAGCAUCUAAAAUUAGAAACAGUAGAACUGUCCAGGAGUUGUUCUCUUGCUUUACUCUUACUAAUAACAGUUUUCUCUUCCCUUUUCUCACCUCACAGGUAUUACCAUGGUCCAACUCCAAUUCAAUCACAGCAAUAUGCAACCAGUCAGGAUAUAAUUAAUUCAUUUCAUAGUAUUAGACAAGAAAUGGAAGCAUAUGUACCCAAACUAACUCAGGUUCUUUCAAGUGGUGAUGCUGCCAGCACUAUUGCAGUCCUGUCACCUGGAGGAGCACUUAUGCAGGGUGGAACACAGCAAGCCAUAAACCAGAUGGUGCCAAAUGAUAUUCAGUCUGAACUAAAACAUUUGUAUGUGGCAGUAGGAGAACUGCUACGACACUUCUGGUCCUGCUUCCCUGUUAACACACCAUUCCUAGAAGAAAAAGUAAGGCAGAGCUUCCUCUUAUGGCCCCUGGUUAUGAUGUGGUUUAGAAUGACCAUGGUUUAGAAUGGCUGUCAUUACUGAAGUAUGGAGCUAAUGCACAUGCCUCAAAUCAGUACAGCACUUACUUAUCCUAAAACUAAAGGUCACAAAAUAACAUGAAACCUUAUUUUUCUCACGAGUUCUGCUGGUACUAUUAAUUAAAAUCAUACAUGUUCCUUGCCUGCCUUUAGCUCCCUUUAGGAGCAGUAGCUGUUAACCAGUUUCAAACAGAACGGGCAGCUCAGUUGCAGCUGCAGGGUUCUCAUUCCAGUUUAAAACACAAAAACUAAAGCCUCCCUUCCCCAGCUGCGAGAAAUAACUUCCACAGUGAUAGUACAAGCAAGUUUCCCUUAUUCUAGCCAUCGCAAAAAUCAAUGUCAUACCUUCAGAACAUACACUGCUUUUGAGAACUAAGUUGCCUUCAAGGACAGAUGUUUGUCUAUAGCCAGUAACUAUUUUUCUGUUGCUUUUGACCUCACAGGAGUAGUAAAGAUUAAAAUUUGCAUUCAGAUGUAUUUGCAUGUCUGCUGCAAAAUGUGGCCUGAAAAUCCAGUCUUCGAUUGAC